rnacentral:rRNA from 1 species
CCUACGGGUGGCUGCAGUGGGGAAUAUUGGACAAUGGGGGCAACCCUGAUCCAGCCAUGCCGCGUGUGUGAAGAAGGCCCUCGGGUUGUAAAGCACUUUCAGUGAGGAAGAACGCCUGGUGGUUAAUACCCAUCAGGAAAGACAUCACUCACAGAAGAAGCACCGGCUAACUCCGUGCCAGCAGCCGCGGUAAUACGGAGGGUGCGAGCGUUAAUCGGAAUUACUGGGCGUAAAGCGCGCGUAGGUGGCUUGAUAAGCCGGUUGUGAAAGCCCCGGGCUCAUCCUGGGAACGGCAUCCGGAACUGUCAAGCUAGAGUGCAGGAGAGGAAGGUAGAAUUCCCGGUGUAGCGGUGAAAUGCGUAGAGAUCGGGAGGAAUACCAGUGGCGAAGGCGGCCUUCUGGACUGACACUGACACUGAGGUGCGAAAGCGUGGGUAGCAAACAGGAUUAGAUACCCCGGUAGUC